GCCCAGCAAGCCUACGACCUAUUCCUCCUUCCAGCUCCAAGACAGAGGAAAGAACACCUAGACAGGACGAGAGGAAAGGGCGCACACCUGACCCAGCCCCGCCCCUCGACCUACCCAGAUUCCAGUCCCUGCGAUCCUGUGAAAAGGUGUCCAGAUGUUCAAGAAGUCAAGAUUUAAAUGAAGCUAGAAGGCAGAAGCAGGCAGAUUUCUGAGUUUGAGG